CUCCGCCCCCAGCAUCACAGGUUCUGACUGAAGCUAAAGCAAGAAGAACAUGUUACUCUCCAUAUUUCUGAGUUGUUUGUCACGCUUGUAUGUGUGUGUCUGUGUGUGUGUGUGUGUGUGUGUGUGUAUACCAUGUUCAUCAGGAUUCCUUGUCAGAGAAAGGGCAUGGAGGGUCCCAGAGGUGUCAAAGCGGACAGCAGGGAGCAGACAGAGGUGACACAGGGAGAGGGCUCUGGUGACAUUUGCACAGUGGGAACUGACCGCCACAGCAUAAUGACGAGCGAGGUCCGCUUUUACUAAUGAGAAAAACAAGGAAGAAAGCGGGCAGAGAGAUGGCCUUACAUCUGUAUGUUUGCACACAGAGAAACGCGCACAUGUGUAACGAAACACUCUUUUUUUGUCCAUACAAACAGCUUCUUUGCUUGUUUGACUCAGAUGUGACUAAUAAAAUGUUUCUUGAGUA